UUUCCGUAGGUGAACCUGCGGAAGGAUCAUUAAUGAGUUGUCAUGGGGUUCGAUGCUGGCAGCCAAUUUUUGGAUGCAUGUGCUUGCCCUAACAAUCAUCUUCCAAACACCUGUGCACAUUUUUGAGGGAGUCUUGAGUUGGUUGCCGCUCUUGGGUGUUUUUCUCACAUUCCCUUAAAUCAUUAUACGCUAUUAACAAUGUUGAACGUGCUCUGUGCCGCAAGGCUAUUAAUAUAAUACAACUUUUAACAACGGAUCUCUUGGCUCUC
rnacentral:misc_RNA from 1 species